AGAAAGGGAGGGAGGGAAGAAAGGAAGGGAGGGAGGGAGGGAGGGAGAAAUCUGAGUGGGACCCAGUUGAGGAGAAGGAUAGAUGAGAGUCCCCAUCCCUGCUAUUUACAGGAACACAGUGUUGUUUUUUCUCCUCCCCCUCCCCUUCCUCCACUUCCUCUCUUCCUCCUCUUCCUCCUCC
rnacentral:miRNA from 1 species